GGUGGCGUUUGCGUCCCUUCCUCCUCCCAGCCAGCUCCCGCUCCUCCCCCGGCCGCUCGGCGCCGUCCCUCCCCGAGCCUCCGCGUCUUUCCAACCGCCCGCAGACUCACGGGCCAUGCUGUCCACCGGCCGGAGACUGGAAGACAGCGACCUGGAGAAGCAAACGGCGGCUUUGCACGCUCAGCCGUUGCCGCCGGGCGCUGAAGAAGGCUGAGCCCCACAAGGGCCCUCGAUGUGGCGACGCCUCGCUCGGCCAGCCAGCCGCCCCGCCCACCGACCCACAACAGCCGCGGCGUGGCCGGUGAGCCACUGCGCGUGCGCGGUCCCCACGCCCCACCGCCCCGCGCGUCCCUUGUCAGCGAGGCGUCCGCGCGCGCACUCGCCUCCUUACUUAGCAGCCUUACCCUGAAGGUGGGCUUUACGUUCCUCAUCUGGCAGAAAAGACCUAACAAGGACAGAAGGGUGGAUUUCGCGCGGGCUCCAAGCCUGCUCAUUGCACCUUUCUUCCGGUGCCCUCCGGAUGGACAGAACUUUAGCUCUAAGCUCAGGCUCUGUGGUUGAACGGGAGCCAAAGUCGCCCAGAAUAACUUUAUAAUCUACAUAAGAGCUGAAACAAGUCAGAAUGCUUGCAUAGGGCUGAGGGGUGUGGCUCAUGGGGGUAGGGGAUGCUUGCCUAUCUUGAGGGACACCCUGAGUCCCACCCCCUCCCUGGGUUGCAUUUCUUGAGCUGAGACUUACUUUCUUGCCUGUCCACUAUUACAAACUGAGAUAGUCUGGACACCGAAUUUGCCUGGGUAUUUUUAAGAGUUUUAUUGUGGAAUAUUUUUAAAACAUACAAAAGUAUAGAUGAUGCUACGGUGUACUCCAACUGUCCGUGUUAACGUGACCUAGUUUAGAGAAAAAGCAUCAAGAGACGGAAUGUCUGGACUGAAAGUGCAGUCCUAAUGGAAACGGAUGUAUAAAAGUUGGGGUCAUAGACAGAUGCACUUAGCACUUAAAACGGGCAGAACGCAUAGAAACAAACACUUAUCUAUGACUAAUUGGCUAUUCUGGGUCUUUUGUUGUUCCAUAUCAAAUAGAGGAUUUUCUUCCUACUUAUGUGAAGAAUGUGAUGAGGAUGUUGAUUGUGAUUUCAUUGAAUCUGUAAGUUGUUUUGGUAGAAAGGUCUUUUUUUCACAAUAUUAAUUCUACCAAGGUAUACACUUGGGAGGUCUUCAAAUUCGAGUAUGUUUCUUCAACUCUUUCUUCACACAUUUAAAGUUUUCAUUGUAGAGGGUUUUUUUAAAACUCUUUUGUUAUGUAUAUUCUAAAUAUUUUAUUUUAUUUGAGAGACUGGGAAGAGGAGCGUGCCAUGAUCUCUUUCUCAGCAUGCUUGUUACUCAUAUGUAUUAAGACUGGUAAACUUUGUAAGUCAAUUAUGUAUCAUAACACUUUGCUGAAAUUACUGAAAAUUUCUAUAUUUUUUCUAGUCAAAUUUUGGGAACAUUGGGUAUAAGAUAAUAUCUUCAAUUGAAAAUAAAAAAAUAUAUGUAUAAAAUCUA
ensembl:antisense BC001981 cDNA sequence BC001981